GAUGAACGCUGGCGGCGUGCCUAAUACAUGCAAGUCGAGCGAACAGACGAGGAGCUUGCUCCUCUGACGUUAGCGGCGGACGGGUGAGUAACACGUGGAUAACCUACCUAUAAGACUGGGAUAACUUCGGGAAACCGGAGCUAAUACCGGAUAAUAUAUUGAACCGCAUGGUUCAAUAGUGAAAGACGGUUUUGCCGUCACUUAUAGAUGGAUCCGCGCCGCAUUAGCUAGUUGGUAAGGUAACGGCUUACCAAGGCGACGAUGCGUAGCCGACCUGAGAGGGUGAUCGGCCACACUGGAACUGAGACACGGUCCAGACUCCUACGGGAGGCAGCAGUAGGGAAUCUUCCGCAAUGGGCGAAAGCCUGACGGAGCAACGCCGCGUGAGUGAUGAAGGUCUUCGGAUCGUAAAACUCUGUUAUUAGGGAAGAACAAAUGUGUAAGUAACUAUGCACGUCUUGACGGUAUCUAAUCAGAAAGCCACGGCUAACUACGUG
rnacentral:rRNA from 1 species